rnacentral:rRNA from 1 species
GAUUAAGUUAUUAAGGGCGCACGGUGGAUGCCUUGGCACUAGAAGCCUACGAAGGACGUUACUAACGACGAUAUGCUUUGGGGAGCUGUAAGUAAGCUUUGAUCCAGAGAUUUCCGAAUGGGGAAACCCAGCACGAGUUAUGUCGUGUUAUCGAUAUGUGAAUACAUAGCAUAUCUGAAGGCAGACGCGGGGAACUGAAACAUCUUAGUACCCGCAGGAAGAGAAAGAAAAAUCGAUUCCCUGAGUAGCGGCGAGCGAAACGGGAAGAGCCCAAACCAACAAGCUUGCUUGUUGGGGUUGUAGGACACUCUAUACGGAGUUACAAAAGAACAUGUUAGACGAAUCAUCUGGAAAGAUGAAUCAAAGAAGGUAAUAAUCCUGUAGUCGAAAACAUAUUCUCUCUUGAGUGGAUCCUGAGUACGACGGAGCACGUGAAAUUCCGUCGGAAUCUGGGAGGACCAUCUCCUAAGGCUAAAUACUCUCUAGUGACCGAUAGUGAACCAGUACCGUGAGGGAAAGGUGAAAAGUACCCCGGAAGGGGAGUGAAAGAGAACUUGAAACCGUGUGCUUACAAGUAGUCAGAGCCCGUUAAUGGGUGAUGGCGUGCCUUUUGUAGAAUGAACCGGCGAGUUACGAUCUGAUGCAAGGUUAAGCAGCAAAUGUGGAGCCGCAGCGAAAGCGAGUCUGAAUAGGGCGUUGAGUAUUUGGUCGUAGACCCGAAACCAGGUGAUCUACCCUUGGUCAGGUUGAAGUUCAGGUAACACUGAAUGGAGGACCGAACCGACUUACGUUGAAAAGUGAGCGGAUGAACUGAGGGUAGCGGAGAAAUUCCAAUCGAACUUGGAGAUAGCUGGUUCUCUCCGAAAUAGCUUUAGGGCUAGCCUCAAGUGAUGAUUAUUGGAGGUAGAGCACUGUUUGGACGAGGGGCCCCUCUCGGGUUACCGAAUUCAGAUAAACUCCGAAUGCCAAUUAAUUUAACUUGGGAGUCAGAACAUGGGUGAUAAGGUCCGUGUUCGAAAGGGAAACAGCCCAGACCACCAGCUAAGGUCCCAAAAUAUAUGUUAAGUGGAAAAGGAUGUGGCGUUGCCCAGACAACUAGGAUGUUGGCUUAGAAGCAGCCAUCAUUUAAAGAGUGCGUAAUAGCUCACUAGUCGAGUGACACUGCGCCGAAAAUGUACCGGGGCUAAACAUAUUACCGAAGCUGUGGAUUGUCCUUUGGACAAUGGUAGGAGAGCGUUCUAAGGGCGUC